GUUCUCUGUGCUUCCCAGCAAACAGUAAAGUCUGAGACUCAGCAGAUGAAAGGCAUUGUGGGACAGUCUUUAUCGUUUCCAGAGAGAGUGUUUAAAACUGGAUAUUUAAGGAGGAGCGAAGAAGUAUACCAGAACUGGAGUCGCAUAGAGACAACCCUGAAAUGGCAUCAGUUUAUGAUACACUGCAGUUACAUCGCAUGGCUGACAGCAGGGAUGUUGACACAGCAUGAAGGAACAGAACUGGAAGUCACUGAGAAGCCAACAUGAUAACUCAUAAAGAGGACAUUUAACCAAAAUGAAAGUAAAAUAAUAAUCACCCAGAAAACCUUUUAGAGGCACAGUUGUUAUGGGAGAAAAAUCCCCUGGAACUGUUGCGCUGAUGUUAUAACUUCAGGCUUUCUUUGUAGGUCAUUCUCACAGACCUGUCAAAUAGAGGCCUCGCUGACAUCCACUGAUAAGGACCAAUUCAAUAACUAUUUAUUGAGUUAGUAGCAGGGUCAGGAUAAUCCUUCUUUUCAGCUGCCUUUUGUCCCAAAUCCCAAUGUAUAAGUUAAAACAAAUGGAACAUAUAUUUUAAUACUGGGCACAACUUUGGUUUUGGAAGUGGGAGGACAUAACUUUUUAUCCUGUCGGAUAAACACUCCAAACAACCUACCCGCCCACUCGGAGGCGUCCGUAUGGUCCUAAAGCACACCAUUGCCUCGUUUUGUAUCACAUUCCAAUGAUAAAACUGGGGGGACAAAAAUGAUAUUUCAGAAUGUGGGGGGGACAUGUGGCACCCUUGGUGUUUGCUAUGCUACUGCUGGCCAAAGCUUCUUUUCAGUUAUGACUGUUUUGUUGUUUAAAUGUAGGUGCCUCCCCUGUAUCUUUUUAUAGCUGGUCAUUGUUUAGCUUGCCAGUGGAUAGCAGCUGUGUACAUAAUAGAAAAAAAGCAGGCGUUUGAGAUAAAGCCUCCUACUCCUUAGCAGCAAUGGCUGUUAGGCUCCUUUAGGUCCAUAGAUGUAAUAACAAAAGCUUUAAUAACAAAAGCUAUUAACAAUAGAUUUACUUUUUUUCUGUAGAUCUUGAUUUGCCAUUUGAUCUUGAGUGUUUUUAGACUCUUCUUAUCACUUUUCGCAAAAUUUUGUUCUGGCCUAACUUGUCUCUCUUAAUUAGCUUGUUUCAUUUAUUAUGAUGGAUCAUUUAUUUAGCUGAAAUAUGUAUAUCUGUCAUUCUUAUUGAAAGCAAGUCUAAGAAGUGGAACACAGGAGUGAUGGUUGCUGAUAAUUGGUAUUGGUAUUUCUGAUCAAUUUGAUGUUAUUUUAAUGGACAAAAAAAAUGUCAUUUUCUUUCAAAAACAAGGACAUGUCUAAGUGACCCCAAACUUUUUACUUGUAGUGCCGUAUAUAUAUAUAUAUAUUCCAGACUCUGACAUUACUUGUUCUGAUAUUUCUUAAUUCCAUUAUUUUUAUGUUGGGGAUUUGUGUGUAUUGUUAUAAUUAGGGGGUAGUUUUACAAUCAUGUUACACUGUAUGUACAAGUGGGUAACCUGUACAAGUGUGAGGUGUGAAAUGGAAAUGUGUUUUGUUGCAUAUCUCCCUCCCCCUGAGACACCCUCAGAGAGUGGGGUUUUGGCCAGGGAUCAGCCAAUACCCCUGGAGCAAUUAGGGUUAGAUGCCUUGCUCAUGGGCAGAAUGACA
rnacentral:lncRNA from 1 species